rnacentral:rRNA from 1 species
AGACAGCAGCCGCCGCGGUAAUACGUAGGGUGCGAGCGUUAAUCGGAAUCACUGGGCGUAAAGCGUGCGCAGGCGGUUAUAUAAGACAGAUGUGAAAUCCCCGGGCUCAACCUGGGACCUGCAUUUGUGACUGUAUAGCUAGAGUACGGUAGAGGGGGAUGGAAUUCCGCGUGUAGCAGUGAAAUGCGUAGAUAUGCGGAGGAACACCGAUGGCGAAGGCAAUCCCCUGGACCUGUACUGACGCUCAUGCACGAAAGCGUGGGGAGCAAACAGGAUUAGAUACCCCAGUAGUCCCUGUCUCUUAUAC